GUGUAUAUCAAAUAUUCUUCUAAGAAUUCAUUUGCUCCAAGAUAAUCAAAAUGUUACAAUCUCCAUUGUGAUUAACUUUAAAGUUUAGAGGUCGUCGGUUCGAGUGACGCUUGGAACAAAUUUCGGACCUAAGGGAAUUACGGGCUUCGUCCCAAAACCUCCUGGUAUUCAAAAAAAAA
rnacentral:sRNA from 1 species